rnacentral:rRNA from 1 species
GACGAACGCUGGCGGCGUGCUUAACACAUGCAAGUCGAACGGAAAGGCCCUGCGUUUGUGGGGUGCUCGAGUGGCGAACGGGUGAGUAACACGUGAGUAACCUGCCCUUGACUUUGGGAUAACUUCAGGAAACUGGGGCUAAUACCGGAUAGGAGCUCCUGCUGCAUGGUGGGGGUUGGAAAGUUUCGGCGGUUGGGGAUGGACUCGCGGCUUAUCAGCUUGUUGGUGGGGUAGUGGCUUACCAAGGCUUUGACGGGUAGCCGGCCUGAGAGGGUGACCGGCCACAUUGGGACUGAGAUACGGCCCAGACUCCUACGGGAGGCAGCAGUGGGGAAUAUUGCACAAUGGGCGGAAGCCUGAUGCAGCAACGCCGCGUGCGGGAUGACGGCCUUCGGGUUAUAAACCGCUUUCGCCUGUGACGAAGCGUGAGUGACGGUAAUGAGUAAAGAAGCACCGGCUAACUACGUG